rnacentral:rRNA from 1 species
CCUACGGGUGGCUGCAGUGAGGAAUAUUGGUCAAUGGACGCAAGUCUGAACCAUCCAAGUAUCGUGCAGGAUGACGGCCCUCCGGGUUGUAAACUGCUUUUAGUUGGGAAUAAAAGGUGGCUCGUGAGCCCCGUAUUGUAUGUACCAUCAGAAAAAGGACCGGCUAAUUCCGUGCCAGCAGCAGAGGUAAUACGGGAGGUCCGGGCGUUAUCCGGAUUUAUUGGGUUUAAAGGGAGCGUAGGCCGGCUUUUAAGUCAGCGGUGAAAGUCCGCGGCUCAACCGUGGAAUUGCAGUUGAAACUGGAGGCCUUGAGGGCACACAGAGAUGUCGGAAGUCAUGGUGUAGCGGUGAAAUGCUUAGAUAUCAUGAAGAACUCCGAUCGCGAAGGCAAGUGUCCGGGGUGCAACUGACGCUGAGGCUCGAAAGUGCGGGUAUCAAACAGGAUUAGAUACCCGGGUAGUC